rnacentral:ncRNA from 1 species
GGUCGUCUUCACGGGCAGGGUGUAAUUCCCGACCGGUGGUUAAAGUCCACGAACUGCUUGAGCAAUCAGGUAGCCGAUUUGGUGAAAUUCCAAAACCGACAGUUAGAGUCUGGAGUAAAGAAGAUAGAG